rnacentral:misc_RNA from 1 species
ACAAAUGAAAAGGGACUUCGGUCUACUUACGUUUAGUUCGUUCGUUCGUUCGUUCGUAGAACAUUUUGUGAACUGUAAAGUCUCUGGCGGCUGGGUGUGACAAAACCUUAGGGAUUAUGUUGCAUCUGUCAACUUGAGGAAUCAGGUCGUGGACAAACCGCCAACCAUCUGUUUUGACUUGAUGUGUUAUAUUUUUAUCUAACAUUUACUUGUAUAAAAUAUACAAA